rnacentral:lncRNA from 1 species
UUUUUUAUUUUUUUUUCUUCCUAUCUAUGUUCCUAUCACAUUAUCAAAUCAUUACAUUUAUUAUAUCACCCUCUCUUAUUUCCUUCUCUCUAAAAAUAUAUGUAUACACUCGAUAGGUACCCAUCAGCAUUAAAAUUCCAAUUCCAACCACACUCAUUUCUAUAAUAAAUUCAAAGGAAAUGCUAACCGAUGUCAUAGGGGCACUGAUUAAGGAUAUAAAAAAUGAAAUUAUAUAGUAGUCAGUUUCAUUUUAUGAUAAUAAUUUUCUUUUAUGAUAUCUUUAACCAAUGCUCCGGAGACACCGGUCAGCAGGAUCCUAAAUUCAAUUACUAUAAAAUAUGAAAAUGUUAAUAACAAGCAUUGGAUGCAGAUCCCUUAGCCCCACCCUCACCGUCUUUUUCUAUAUGUAUUAUGUAUUUUUUGUUUUAAUUAUGCAGUACACCAUUAGUAAUGACCAAACCAACCACCCAUUGUCCAAUUUUUUAUGUUAUUUUAAUUCAAUAAUUCCUAUGGGCACAAUGAUUUUUCUCUAUAAAUUCAACUACUGAAUCCCAUCAAAACCUCUUUCCUUCUCUUCUUAUCAUCUCUUCUAAAAAUUGGUCAAAACUCAUCCCUCCUCUUCCAUUUGCAUAUUCUUCUUUAUCAUCUUUUCUUCCCUAAAUUAGAGUCUAUCCUUCCGCCCAUAGUCUUUGACACCCUUUUCAAAAUUCUAGAACAAGAAUUUUAUUCUUCAUAUAUAUAUAUAUAUAUAUCCAAUUAACCAUCUCAAUCUCAUAUUCACAUAUACCUCAUAAACCAUCCAUAACAUCCUUAAAAACCCUCUAAGCCCUUUCAAACUUUGAUUUGUAAUUGUUUCUCUUAUAAGUCUUAACCUGCACAAAUCAAUUUUAAUUUCUUAUGUUCAUAUAGUUAUGAAUGAUUGAAAAAAACACAAAUGACUCCAGUUAUCUGUGAGAUCUCUAUGAUAAACUCUACUCUCAGACGCAGGACACAUUUAGUUCAAUCUUUCUCUGUUGUUUUCCUCUACUGGUUCUAUAUUUUCUCAUGAAUUAUUAAUUAAUCUAUAUUCUUUCUUUUCAAUACAAAUUUAGUUUCAUUAAUUCUAUCAACAUAAUCAAUUAAACUACAUAGUUAGAAAAAUAGUACUAUUACCACGAUCACAUCAAAGUUUUUUAGUUUUUAACAAACACAUCGGAACUGCAAUUGAUAUGGCUUCUUCUGGUGGAACUUAUUCAUCUGGCACAAGCUCUCUUCAAAACUCUGGAUCAGAGGGAGAUCAUAAUCACGUGCAGGUGAACAUAACAGAUCAAAAGAAGAGGAAGAGAAUGCAAUCCAACAGAGAAUCAGCACGAAGAUCAAGGAUGAAGAAACAACAACAUAUGGAAGAUCUAAGCAACCAAAUUGAACAGCUGAAAAAAGAGAAUAUUCAAAUAAGCACAAACGUUGGAGUAACUACUCAGAUGUAUCUGAACGUGGAAUCUGAAAAUGCUAUUCUUAGGGUUCAAAUGGCUGAACUUAGCCACAGGUUGCAAUCACUUAAUGAUAUUAUUCAUUACAUUGAAUCAAGUAACUCACUCUUUCAGGAGACAGAUCAAUUGUUCAAUGAUUGUGGAUUCUCGGACACAUGGAACACUUUUCCUGUUAAUCAACAACCAAUCAUGGCUUCUUCGGAUCAUAUGUUAAUGUAUUGAUUGGUGAAUAAUUUUGAUGACAAAUUAUGUAUCAACGGCUUUUGGUUGCUUCUGUGUGC